UACGUAGGGGGCGAGCGUUGUCCGGAUUCAUUGGGCGUAAAGAGCGUGUAGGCGGCUCGAUAAGUCUGCUGUGAAAGUCCAGGGCUCAACCCUGGAAGGCCGGUGGAAACUGUCGGGCUAGAGUCCGGAAGAGGCGAGUGGAAUUCCCGGUGUAGCGGUGAAAUGCGCAGAUAUCGGGAGGAACACCAAUGGCGAAGGCAGCUCGCUGGGACGGUACUGACGCUGAGACGCGAAAGCGUGGGGAGCAAACAGG
rnacentral:rRNA from 1 species